rnacentral:rRNA from 1 species
AUUGAACGCUGGCGGCAGGCCUAACACAUGCAAGUCGAACGGUAACAGGAAUCAGCUUGCUGAUUUGCUGACGAGUGGCGGACGGGUGAGUAAUGUCUGGGAAACUGCCUGAUGGAGGGGGAUAACUACUGGAAACGGUAGCUAAUACCGCAUAACGUCGCAAGACCAAAGAGGGGGACCUUCGGGCCUCUUGCCAUCGGAUGUGCCCAGAUGGGAUUAGCUAGUAGGUGGGGUAAAGGCUCACCUAGGCGACGAUCCCUAGCUGGUCUGAGAGGAUGACCAGCCACACUGGAACUGAGACACGGUCCAGACUCCUACGGGAGGCAGCAGUGGGGAAUAUUGCACAAUGGGCGCAAGCCUGAUGCAGCCAUGCCGCGUGUAUGAAGAAGGCCUUCGGGUUGUAAAGUACUUUCAGCGGGGAGGAAGGGAGUAAAGUUAAUACCUUUGCUCAUUGACGUUGCCCGCAGAAGAAGCACCGGCUAACUCCGUG